GAUCAUUAACGCGCAGGCCGGAGGCUGGCCCCCCACGAUAGGAAUCAACGUUCCAUCAGGGGUGUGCAGAUGUGCGCCGGUCUUACGCCCCAUUCUUGUCUACCUUACUCGGUUGCCUCGGCGGGCCGCGCUCUCCUGGGAGAGUCGUCCGGCGAGCCUCUUUGGGGGCUUUAGCUGGAUCGCGCCCGCCGGAGGACAGACAUCAAAAAAUCUUGGAAAGCUGUCAGUCUGAGCGUUAGCAAGUAAAAUUAGUUAAAACUUUCAACAACGGAUCUCUUGGUUCCGGCAUCGAUGAAGAACGCAGCGAAAUGCGAUAAGUAAUGUGAAUUGCAGAAUUCCGUGAAUCAUCGAAUCUUUGAACGCACAUUGCGCCCUCUGGUAUUCCGGGGGGCAUGCCUGUUCGAGCGUCAUUUCAACCCCUCAAGCCCGGCUUGUGUGAUGGACGACCGUCCGACCUCCUCUUUCGGGGGCGGGACGCGCCCGAAAAGCAGUGGCCAGGCCGCGAUCCCGGCUUCCUGGGCGAAUGGGCAGUCAAACCAGCGCCCUCAGGACCGGCCGCUCUGGCCUUCCCCCAAAUCUCUCUGAGAUAUUUUUUCAGGUUGACCUCGGAUCAGGUAGGGAUACCCGCUGAACUUAAGCAUAUCAAUAA
rnacentral:misc_RNA from 1 species